rnacentral:rRNA from 1 species
CUUGCAACCAAUAAGAGGUCCAGCCUGCCCAGUGACUCUGUUCAACGGCCGCGGUAUCCUAACCGUGCAAAGGUAGCGCAAUCAUUUGUCCUUUAAAUAAGGACUAGUAUGAACGGCACCACGAAAGCUAUACUGUCUCCUUCCCCUAAUCAGUGAAACUAAUCUUCCCGUGAAGAAGCGGGGAUAAUUUUAUAAGACGAGAAGACCCUAUGGAGCUUUAAACACACAACAAUUGUCACGGACCUACCCCCUUCCCCGGAAGAAACCGCCCACCCGAACAUUUUGAUUGCAAGUUUUAGGUUGGGGUGACCACGGAACAAAAAAUAACCUCCAUGGUGAAUAGGAUUCUUUCCCUUAAACCCAGGGCCACGACCCCAAGGAUCAAUAAAUUGACACCCAUUGACCCAAUACUUUUGACCAACGAAC